GACGUAGGGUCCAAGCGUUGUCCGGAUUUAUUGGGCGUAAAGAGCGUGUAGGCGGCCAGGUAGGUCUGCUGUGAAAACUCGAGGCUCAACCUCGAGACGUCGGCGGAAACCAUCUGGCUAGAGUCCGGAAGAGGAGAGUGGAAUUCCUGGUGUAGCGGUGAAAUGCGCAGAUAUCAGGAAGAACACCCGUGGCGAAGGCGGCCCCCUGGUUGGAUACUGACGCUGAGACGCGAAAGCGUGGGGAGCAAACAGG
rnacentral:rRNA from 1 species